GCAGGAAUCUCCCUUCAGAGGAGCCGAAAUCUGCCCACAGCAACCUCCCCAGCAUGAGAGAAAUUUGCCAUGGAAACCAGACCCUGCAUGCAGACCCCGAAUCUCUGAUGGCUCGUCUACGGCAACGGGCGGGGGGAGGCGACUGCCGGCCAGGCUGGCCUCGGCCUCUGCAGCGGGAGGAGGGGGCCCCACCAACAGUCGCAGACUCUCCGGCUCGGGCAGCUCCCCGUCCAGACCCUGCCGGGUGGGAGGAUCUCGGGAUGGGAAUUCAUGCCCAGCGACAUUUCCAACAGAAGAACCAACAGCUUCUUAGAGCAGUGGGCAGAGAGAGGACUCCGGCCGGGGAGCAGGCGCCCUAAAGCAAAAACCCCGUGUCUCCUAAUGCAGGCCAGUGCACGUCGCCACUCUUUGAACAAAAGACUCCAAAGUGAAGGGCCAUCUGCUCCUGCCAGACCAAGCCAGCAAGGCUGUGCGACAGGCCAGCAAGGUCUGUGUCCCUGAGUGGGAGACAGAAGACGGUGUCGCCCAGUGGAGCAGAAGGGCACUAGCCUGACCUGCUGGCCCCAGGCCCCACGUCCCAGCCCUGGGCCUGCCCUCCCAGCUGACGUGUCCUUCUUGCUGAGGUGUGGCUGAGUGGAGGAACUCCUCCACCAACAACCUUCCAGCCCAUGUGCCUGGGCUGGCUGCCUGCCCUCCAGCUAGGCCCUCUCACGGGCUGCCUGGCUCCAUCUCUUCCAUGGGCUCCGUCUCAGUCCUACGGGCUUCCCUGACCCAUCUGGAGACUCCUGGUCACCCCCCAGCCUGGCCCUGCUCUGGGGGCGUGGAGCCACACCGUAAGCUCACCAAAGCUUCGUCUCCUGGACGACCUAUAGCUGGACACUUCCCAGGCUCCCUGGUUUUAAGUGAGGCCAUGGGACCAGACACCAGCCAGCAAAAGGUGAGCAAAAGCCUGGGGCGCUGCCUCCUGUACCCACCCAUCAAAAUUUCUGGAACAUGUCCUCCCUCUUACCCCACCUGGACACCCAGCGUGACCUCCGCCAAAGCCACGUGCUCAAGACGGCGGGACAUGUGCCAGCCUGGGUCUCCAAUUCCCGUCUCCAUCUCUCCUUCGGCUCGACAGGGCCUGAUUCGGUGACUGUUGUGGGGACCCGGUAAGAAAAGAGUCCUUUCACUUCCACACCUUCAAGUCCUGGCCACCUUUGCCACCUGGGACACACCCUGUCUCUGAAGCCGAGUGGCCACCCCUCCUGAUGCGAGGGGCAGGGUGGAGCAGUGGCGGGAAAGGCGGGCUGGGCCCCAGCCCCACCACCUCCAAGCUCCACGGCCUGAGCAGGUGUCUGGCCAACCUGGCCUCACCUGCACAGGAGGGCAGCGCGGGGCCACAACCAGAGAGGGGUCAGUGGGAGCGCAGCCAGGAGCACCGCCCGCAGCCACUGCUGACGUCAGGAUCGCUCAGUGCCCUCCUCGGGUGUAGUACCGUACUUCAUACAUGAGCAUCAGGUAAAAACGCUAAAGUGGUGUGUGCAGUUGGCCCAGAGCAGAAACAGCCCAAGUGCCCAUCGCCAGUGAACAGAUGAACAGACGGAGGCAGAGUCGUACGCAGAAAACCCUCCAGCUGCAGAAAUAAAUGAAGUCCUGCCACGUGCAACAGGGUGCGUCUUCCCCACGAACUCCCAGAAGGAACGCAAGGUACAAAUAAGUCUAUUUGUAGGGCCCUCAAAUCUGGCUGCCGCUCAGCCCCGUCACCCAGGUCCACAGACACACGCAGGAAAAGGACCCACAGAAGCAGCAACACGAGUCCCAUCAAGUCAGGAGGAGGAGAAGUCAGAAGGACGGUGGUUGGCUCUUGGCAGGGAGGAGACUGUAAAGGGGGCGCACGGGGUGGGCGGUGGGGCAGGUUCGUUCCCCGACAUGUCAGGGAUACGCGAGGGUUCACUGUGGAGUCGCCGGAUGAACGGCACAUAGAUACGUAUCUCUGGGGUGUGUACGUAUUUUGCAUGCUCUUCCACACCGCGUUACAGUCCACAACGAAGGCAUCAUGACAGACACCGUUCUCAGAUGCCCCUAAGGCCCCCGGCCCCCGCUCACAGUUACUCCAACUGUGCUGGAGUUGGUGCUGCCGUGAGGGGUUUUGCUGUUGUAACUAAGGCCCCCAUUGGCAGACACUAACAUAGGGAGAUGAGUCUGGUGGGCCAGACCUAAGCAGGUGACCCCUCAAGUCCCAGGUGCCAGUGGGAGGGGAUCCCAAGCUGGCCUCAAGAUGGAGGGAGACACAUGGCAAGCCCUGAGCGACCUCUAGAUGCCGACAGCAGCCCAGAGCUGGCAGCCAGCGAGGACGUGGGACCUCACUCCAACCUCUGCAAGGAACAGAACUCGGCCAAUGACCUGAGACCGGAAGUGGACCUUCCCCAGAGCCCGCUGACACCUCGAUCCCAGCCUCAGAGAGCCUGACCCAGCUGGCCCACGCCUCGGUUCUGACCUACGGAACUGUGAGCCCCUAAAUGCAGCUCACAAGCCCACUGGUUGGUCACAGAAAAGCACAACCGCCUCAACUCCAGUGGCAGUUCCUUUUGUUUGUGUAAGAAGCCACUUGAAACAGAACAGCAUGGAAACUGGAAGAGUGACCCUGCAGGGAAGACAGCUGCCCACCCACCCCAGCCAGGGGACCAAGGCCAACGUCCGCAGUGACAGCACCCUCCCCCGAGACAGCCCCAGGAGGAGGGCACUUCACUCCGGGUUCUUCCUCCCAAAACCCAUCACCCUGGCCUCGCCAUGAGAAAAACCCCAGACAGACCCAAGGAAGGGAUUUCCUACAAAAGCCCUGCCCCAUCCUCCACGUAACCGUCAAGGGGCAUCAGACACAAGGAAAGUCUGAGAAACUGUCUCAGCCCGGAGGAACCUGAGGAGAUGUGACGCCUACAUGUCCUAGGGGAUGCUGGGACCAAAGAGGGACAUCGGGGAAACUGAGGAAAUAGGAAUAAAUUGUGGACUUUGCUUACUA